rnacentral:lncRNA from 1 species
AGGCUGAGUCAGACAAUCAGCUAAUUGGUCCACAGUAGCUAACUCUACCAGCCACAGGUGUACUCAAUACUCUUUUUGUAACGUUAUGGAUGGUGACCUGUAAAAUCAGUCCCGGUUCUUCUACUGUUCUCUAUGUGCUGCUGAACACCACAAACCUCCUACACCAGCUCUUCUAUACCAGGUUGUGCUGCCUAUGUUAUUACCAACCCCAAUGAAGUAACUGCUGCAGAGAGAACGCUGCUAUACGUUGCACUUAAUCUCUCCAAGACGUAAUAUCUAAAGAACAUAGUCUUGCAGAUGGAAGUCAUCAAAAUCCAAUUUGUUAUCCCAGAGAAGGAGAAAAAUCUCAUGCUCCUGUAAUUCUAAGAAUCCCCAAGACUGUACUAUUUCACCGUCAAAAGGAGAAAAGAGGAGGAGAUAGGAAAGCUCCCUUCUGUAUACUAGUCCAUCCUCAUAAAACAUAGCUCACCUCUUCUCCUUG